rnacentral:rRNA from 1 species
GAUGAACGCUGGCGGCGUGCUUAACACAUGCAAGUCGAACGGGAAACCUUUUAUUGAAGCUUCGGCAGAUUUAGCUGGUUUCUAGUGGCGGACGGGGGAGUAACGCGUGGGUAACCUGCCUUAUACAGGGGGAUAACAACCAGAAAUGGUUGCUAAUACCGCAUAAGCGCACAGGACCGCAUGGUCCGGUGUGAAAAACUCCGGUGGUAUAAGAUGGACCCGCGUUGGAUUAGCUGGUUGGCAGGGUAACGGCCUACCAAGGCGACGAGGCAGAGCCGGCCUGAGAGGGUGAACCGCCACAAUGGGACUGCGGCACGGCCCAGACUGCUACGGGACGCAGGAGUGGAGAAUAUUGCAGAAUGGAGGAAAAUGUGAUGCAGCGACGCGGCGUGAAGGAAGAAGUAUCUCGGUAUGUAAACUCCUAUCAGCAGAGGAGAGAGUGACGGUACCUGACUAAGAAGCCCCGGCUAACUACGUG